GUAGGUGAACCUGCGGAAGGAUCAUUAAUGAAUUUUGAAAGGGACUUGAUGCUGACUCCUUUGGAGUAUGUGCUCGGUUCCGCUCAAAUCCAUAUCACACCUGUGCACCUUCGAAGUUUGUAGUCCUCCGUCAUGGGAGUCGUGGUCUUGUAAUGAGAUCGCUGGGACUAUGACUUUGCCCUUACUUUACAAACCAAUUAUAAUGUUCUGUAGAAAGUCAAAGUCUAAGGACUUUAAAAUGUUAAUAUAA
rnacentral:misc_RNA from 1 species